GGGGCUAGCUCAGCGGUAGAGCGUCUGCUCGGCAUGCAGAAGGAACAGAGGUUCAAUCCUCGGCAUCUCCA